CGACUAGCUACUUUUUUGUUAGAAAGAAGUGUUUAUGAUUGGUGGAGGUCCGUACAGAGUAAAUAUGUUGAUCCUUCUGUGAUCACAUGGGGCGAGUUUAAAGAUGCUUUUAAUGAGCAUUUCUACCCUCGUUAUUACAAGACUGACAAACAGAAUGAAUUUUUGAGACUAGUACAGACAUCAACAAUGGCAAAGUAUCGGAAGAAAUUUAUAGAAUUAUUAAAGUAUGCUGCUGUUCUUGUAGCUGAUGAAGUUGAUAAAUGCAGAUGAUUUGAGUAUGGCCUGAGAGAAAAAAUUAGAUCAAUGGUGACUGCGUCUAGGUAUGAAAAUUUGGGUGUAAACUUGUAGAAGCAACAUUAAGGGUCGAGAAAAGUUUGUCUAAACGACAUAGUGGUCAACAACAAAUGAGACCGGGAAUUGGAAACACCUAAUCCACCUCCUCUACGAUCCCUCCUCCGUGGCCUAGUCAUAGAUCCUCUUGCCCAUGUCUGACUACUGCUUCCGAUUCCCGAUCUCAUUUGUUGUUGACCACCAUGUCGUUCAGACAAACUUUUCUCAACCCUUAAUGCUGCUUCUACAAGUUUACUCAAAUUUUCAUACCCAGACGCAGUCACCACCGAUCUAAUUUCUUCUCUCAGGCCAUACUCAAAUUUUCUGCAUUUAUCAACUUCAUCAGCUACAAGAGCGGCAGCAUACUUUGAUAAUUCUAGAAAUUUCUUCUGAUACUCCACCACUGUUGAUGUCUGUACUAGUCUCCAAAAUUCAUUCUGUUUGUCAGUCUUGUAAGAAUGAGGGUAGAAAUGCUCAUUAAAAUCAUCUUUAAACUCGCCCCACGUGAUCACAGAAGGAUCAACAUAUUUACUCUGUACAGACCUCAACCAAUCAUAAGCACUUCCUUCUAACAAGAAAGUAGCUAGACGUAAUUUUCGAUCAUCAGGACAAUCCAUCACAUCAAAUAUUCUUUCAAUCCUCACCAUCCAUGAUUUUCCUUCUCCUGGAUUAGUUGUGC
rnacentral:lncRNA from 1 species